rnacentral:rRNA from 1 species
AUUGAACGCUGGCGGCAUGCCUUACACAUGCAAGUCGAACGGCAGCACGGGAGCAAUCCUGGUGGCGAGUGGCGAACGGGCGAGUAAAGUAUCGGAACGUGCCCAGUCGUGGGGGAUAACGUAGCGAAAGUUACGCUAAUACCGCAUACGAUCUAUGGAUGAAAGCGGGGGAUCGCAAGACCUCGCGCGAUUGGAGCGGCCGAUAUCAGAUUAGGUAGUUGGUGGGGUAAAGGCUCACCAAGCCGACGAUAUGUAGCUGGUCUGCGAGGACGACCAGCCACACUGGGACUGAAACACGGCCCAGACUCCUACGGGAGGCAGCAGUGGGGAAUUUUGGACAAUGGGCGAAAGCCUGAUCCAGCCAUGCCGCGUGCAGGAUGAAGGCCUUCGGGUUGUAAACUGCUUUUGUACGGAACGAAAAGGUUUGGCCUAAUAAGCUGAGCUCAUGACGGUACCGUAAGAAUAAGCACCGGCUAACUACGUGCCAGCCGCCGCCGUAA